AGUAAACUAAGCUAAAUAAGCUGCUGGGCCCAUACCCCAGAAAUGUAGGCAAAAACCCUACCUCUACUA
rnacentral:tRNA from 1 species